UACGAAGGGAGGCUAGCGUUGUUCGGAAUUACUGGGCGUAAAGGGCGCGUAGGCGGCUUGGCAAGUUGGAUGUGAAAGCCCAGGGCUCAACCCUGGAAUUGCUAUUCAAGACUGCCUUGCUUGGAAUUCGGUAGGAGGUUGGUGGAAUUCCCAGUGUAGAGGUGAAAUUCGUAGAGAUUGGGAAGAACACCCGUGGCGAAGGCGGCCAACUGGACCGACAUUGACGCUGAGCGCGAAGCGUGGGAGUCAAA
rnacentral:rRNA from 1 species